rnacentral:rRNA from 1 species
GGGGGUCGAUGCUGGUCUCGCAAGGGACAUCGUGCGCGCCCCUAUCUUCUCUUUCAUUCAUCUACCCCUAUCUGUGCACCCUAUGUGGGCCGAGAUUACUCGGCUUACGCAUUCUUACACACUCCAGUAAACGUUCAAUGAAUGUAUCAUUCGAGCUCAGUCUCGAUAUAAUCUAAUACAACUUUCAACAACGGAUCUCUUGGCUCUCGCAUCGAUGAAGAACGCAGCGAAAUGCGAUAAGUAAUGUGAAUUGCAGAAUUCAGUGAAUCAUCGAAUCUUUGAACGCACCUUGCGCCCCUUGGUAUUCCGAGGGGCAUGCCUGUUUGAGUGUCAUUAAAUUAUCAACCCGAAAAGCUUUCACGUUCUUCGGUGCUUGGACUUUGGAGUCGUGCAGGUCUUUCAGAUCUGCUCCUCUUGAAAUGCAUUAGCGGUACCCGAUGGCGGACCUGCCCUGGCGUGAUAAUUAUCUACGUCGCGGCCGUGAAGCUCAACUCUAUGGGUCUUCCGCUCACGACCGUCGCCUUGCGCGACAACUCAAUGACAAUUUUGACCUCAGAUCAGGUAGGAUUACCCGCUGAACUUAAGCAUAUC